rnacentral:lncRNA from 1 species
UAAGAUCAAUGCAUUCCUCCAAUCCCAUAAUACAUGCCUCAUACUCAGCCAUAUUAUUCGUGCACUUGAAAGUUAGCCUUGUUGUAAAAGGAAUAUGUGUGCCCUGAGGCGUAAUGAUUACCGCCCCAAUACCAUUUCCAUAUUGAUUUACAGCGUCAUCAAAUACCAUACUCCAUCUGGAACCAGGCUCUGGCCCUUCAUCAAGUGUAGGCUCAUCGCAAUCUUUUACUUUCAAAUACAGAAUUUCCUCAUCUGGGAAGUCAUAC